UUGACCACCUUGACUUCUUCCCACAGGAUGCGGUCUCGGCCCCAGCGUCUGAUGCUGGAGCGGGUCUUCACGGCGAACACCAGAAGAAUGAUCAGCGCCACAAACACCAGGAAGCCGAGGACAAUGGCGAUGGCCUGCACCAGACCAAGACAGGUGUCAACAAAAUGGAAACGGGCGAGGCUUGAACGCAAUGUAGCGUCCUCGUUGGCUGCUAAUGCCAGUCACUAGUCGUCACCUCCAAACAGGUUGACACUUCUGUAUCGAUCUUCUCACUGGGCUCUCUGAAACUUCUGCAGUUCAUCCAGAAUGCUGCUACCCGAAUCCUGACUAAAAGUAAGACAAACUUAUUAGUUGCUCAGAGAGUAGACUUCAAAACAAGUCUUUUCCAUGUUAGAAUUCUAGAAACUAUGAUCCAGGUAAAAAGUGUAUCACGGUAUCAGUGUUUUGUAUAAUCCAGCGAUUGUUUUGGUUUAGUCUAAAGUACAUUAAAGGGACAAGCGGUAGAAAAUGGAUGGAUUUGUGGUAGAGAAACUGUCAAAGGGUUUUCAGUAAAGGAAUAAUUCACAAUGAAGACUGAAACACAAGGAAUCAUGCUCAAUACUGACAUCCAGUGGCGCAAAAAUAGUACUGCAUGUAAUUAUGCACUUCCGUAAUUAUGAUGAUUGUUAAUUCUGGUGUAUAUUUUUUUAAAUCUUUGGUUUCGAGUAAAAAUUGAGGGAAAUUGGUUUAAGAUUUUUUCCCGCAAUCAGUUCAUGUUAAAAUGACUUUUAAACAAUCCAGUUGUCCAGCUUGCUUGUUCAAAAUACAAAUGAAAUUGAUCAUGAAAUUUCUACAAUUUAUUGUCGAAAGGACAAAUGAUUUUAAAUGACGUUUCAGGGGAAAGAGAAAUAAUUCAAUCGAUAUAUGCAGGAUCUGUUUUAUGUCAUUCAAAAUUAUUUUUAUUUUAUUGUAUUUUUUGCAGUUUUUAAUGCAGUUAUUUACAUUUGUAUUCAUUUUUAUAGUAUUUCUUAGUUCACAAUUGUUCAUGUAAUUUAUACAUUGGUGUAUUUUUUCAUAUUUUUGUAUUUGUAAUUAUUUUUUUAUUAUUCCUACAUUUAUUUGAAUUUAUUUAACCUGUAGUUGUUUUUUAAAUGUAUUUUAUAUGCAUGUGUUUAUUAAUAUUUUGAAAUUUAUUUAAAUAAAAUGUUCAUGCAUUUAUCUA